rnacentral:rRNA from 1 species
AUACGUAGGGGGCGAGCGUUGUCCGGAAUGACUGGGCGUAAAGGGCGUGUAGGCGGUUUUUUAAGUCUGGAGUGAAAGUCCUGCAUUCAAUGUGGGAAUUGCUUUGGAUACUGGAGGACUUGAGUGCGGAAGAGGUAAGUGGAAUUCCCAGUGUAGCGGUGAAAUGCGUAGAGAUUGGGAGGAACACCAGUGGCGAAGGCGACUUACUGGGCCGUAACUGACGCUGAGGCGCGAAAGCGUGGGGAGCGAACAGGAUUAGAUACCCUGGUAGUCCACGCGGUAAACGAUGAAUGCUAGGUGUUGCGGGUAUCGACCCCUGCAGUGCCGGAGUAAACACAAUAAGCAUUCCGCCUGGGGAGUACGGCCGCAAGGUUGAAACUCAAAUGAAUUGACGGGG